rnacentral:rRNA from 1 species
GCUUUCGGGCCCUAUUCUCACCCUUUGUUUAUUAACUUUGUUGCUUUGGCAGGCCUCCGGCUUCGGCUGGGUCGUGUCUGCCAGAGGCCUAACUCUUGAAUCACUGCGGUCUGAGUACUAUAUAAUAGUUAAAACUUUCAACAACGGAUCUCUUGGUUCUGGCAUCGAUGAAGAACGCAGCGAAAUGCGAUAAUUAAUGUGAAUUGCAGACUCAGUGAAUCAUCGAAUCUUUGAACGCACAUUGCGCCCUCUGGUAUUCCGGGGGGCAUGCCUGUUCGAGCGUCAUUACAACCCUCAAGCUCUGCUUGGUGUUGGGCUCGCCCUGUAGGGCCUGCCUCAAAGUCAGUGGCAGCACCGUCUGACCCUAAGCGUAGUAAUACUCGCCGCUUUUGUGGUUAUGCGUGGGCUGCCAAUCAACCCCCACCAUCAAGGUUGACCUCGGAUCAGGUAGGGAUACCCGCUGAACUUAAGCAUAUCAAUAAGCGGAGGAAAAGAAACCAACAGGGAUUGCCUCAGUAACGGCGAGUGAAGCGGCAACAGCUCAAAUUUGAAAGCUGGCUCCUUUGGGGGCCCGCGUUGUAAUUUGUAGAGGAUGCUUCGGGUGCGGCGCCGGUCUAAGUUCUUUGGAACAAGACGUCAUAGAGGGUGAGAAUCCCGUAUGUGACUGGUUGCCUGUGCCCGUGUGAAGCUCCUUCGACGAGUCGAGUUGUUUGGGAAUGCAGCUCAAAAUGGGUGGUAAAUUUCAUCUAAAGCUAAAUAUUGGCCAGAGACCGAUAGCGCACAAGUAGAGUGAUCGAAAGAUGAAAAGCACUUUGGAAAGAGAGUUAAACAGUACGUGAAAUUGUUGAAAGGGAAGCGCUUGCAAUCAGACUUGCACGGCGUCGAUCAGCCUGGGUUCUCCCUGGUGCACUCGGCGCCGUUCAGGCCAGCAUCAGUUUUGACGGUGGGAUAAAGGCCUAGGGAACGUGGGUCGCCU